UUAACUCAAACUUGUAUGGAGUUGGAACAGCGCCCCUAGAGGCAAACGUAAGCAAACAUUCCAACUCCAUACAAAUUUGAGUUA
rnacentral:pre_miRNA from 1 species